rnacentral:rRNA from 1 species
GACGAACGCUGGCGGCGUGCUUAACACAUGCAAGUCGUACGGUAAGGCCCUUUCGGGGGUACACGAGUGGCGAACGGGUGAGUAACACGUGACUAACCUGCCCACAACUUUGGAAUAACGCUAGGAAACUGGUGCUAAUACUGGAUAUGUGCUCCUGCUGCAUGGUGGGGGUUGGAAAGCUCCGGCGGUUGUGGAUGGACUCGCGGCCUAUCAGCUUGUUGGUGGGGUAGUGGCCUACCAAGGCGGCGACGGGUAGCCGGCCUGAGAGGGUGACCGGCCACAUUGGGACUGAGAUACGGCCCAGACUCCUACGGGAGGCAGCAGUGGGGAAUAUUGCACAAUGGGCGCAAGCCGGAUGCAGCAACGCCGCGUGCGGGAUGACGGCCUUCGGGUUGUAAACCGCUUUCAGCAGGGACGAAGCUUUUUGUGACGGUACCUGCAGAAGAAGCACCGGCUAACUACGUG